rnacentral:misc_RNA from 1 species
UUUCCGUAGAUGAACCUGCGGAAGGAUCAUUACUGAGUGAGGGCCCUCUGGGUCCAACCUCCCACCCGUGUUUAUUGUACCUUGUUGCUUCGGUGCGCCCGCCUCACGGCCGCCGGGGGGCUUCUGCCCCCGGGUCCGCGCGCACCGGAGACACCAUUGAACUCUGUCUGAAGAUUGCAGUCUGAGCAUAGACUAAAUAAGUUAAAACUUUCAACAACGGAUCUCUUGGUUCCG